AGAGUUGACAUGUGUCG
rnacentral:miRNA from 1 species